AUUGAACGCUGGCGGCAGGCCUAACACAUGCAAGUCGAGCGGAGCGGCGGCCGGGGGAGUAAUGCCUAGGAAUCUGCCUGGUAGUGGGGGAUAACGUUCGGAAACGGGCGCUAAUACCGCAUACUAUCAGAUUAGCCUAGUUCGGAGUGGAUAUGUGGGGGGGUAAUGGCCAACAAAGGCGACGAUCCGUAGCUGGUCUGAGAGGAUGAUCAGUCACACUGGAACUGAGACACGGUCCAGACUCCUACGGGAGGCAGCAGUGGGGAAUAUUGGACAAUGGGCGAAGGCCUGAUCCAGCCAUGCCGCGUGUGUGAAGAAGGCCUUCGGGUUGUAAAGCACUUUCAGCGGGGAGGCGUUACCCGCAGAAGAAGCACCGGCUAACUCCGUGCCAGCAGCCGCGGUAAUUC
rnacentral:rRNA from 1 species